rnacentral:lncRNA from 1 species
AUGUCCAAUGUCAUGUUGCAGAAAUUUCUAUUUAAGCAUUGCUCUGUAUUCAGAGGAAGCUCAGGUGUUUCUUUUUUUCUCCAGCCAUUUAGAUGUCAAUGCUUAUUAAACCCUGUCAGAGCCCUGCAUGCACUAACAGUCUCUAAUUGCCCUGGCCAUCCUCAGCUGGGGCCUCCAUUUAAGCUCAGGUCUGGGCUGCAUCAACAGGCUCUGUGUUCCUUUGUCUUGCAAUUAAAUAACACAGUUAUAUAUAACUUACCAUCCCUCCCCAAAAGAGUGGUAAGAAGAGAUAACAUGAAGAAAAUUUCCAUCCUUGAUCAUAUCAUCGCGCACUGGUAUUUCUGUAACAAAGAAGACUCAUACAUCAGAGUUGGAAGUGUGCAGGUAUCCUGCUGUUCAUGCUACCAGUGCCUUUUAAGUUUGUUUUUGUCCUUGCUUGAUUUUGGAUCGUGUCAAUAGUCUGUCAGAUCUCCAGCACCGAGCAUGUGAAAUGUGACAGAACGUUGUCUCGUAAAUUGGGAUGACUGUAGCCUGUGCAGUGUUGUGGUAAGUGAAAUAAUUACGAGCCAAGACAUUACCAUGUUACUGACAGGACCAACUAAUGCAAAGCUGGUUCUUCCUUAGAUUGUCCUUCUGUCUCCAUCAGAAAAUGAAAGGGAAGGGAGCGAGGUGGCUGGAUAUGAAAGAAACGGAAUCAGUCCUGCGAGUA